UACGGAGGGGGCGAGCGUUAUUCGGAAUUAUUGGGCGUAAAGGGCGCGUAGGCGGCUUGACAAGUCAAAGGUGAAAUCCCUCGGCUCAACUGAGGAACUGCCUUUGAAACUGUCUGGCUUGAGGCCGGGAGGGGGUAGCGGAAUUCCCGGUGUAGUGGUGAAAUGCGUAGAUAUCGGGAGGAACACCAGUGGCGAAGGCAGCUCGCUGGGACGGUACUGACGCUGAGGCACGAAGGCCAGGGGAGCAAACGGG
rnacentral:rRNA from 1 species